rnacentral:lncRNA from 1 species
AUGGACACAUCAAGAGUCUAUGGUAAUGUAAAGACAUUUAGGUCUCCAGGGCAUAAGCAAGCAUCAUUCCCAUCUCUCUCCACAGAUGCUUGUCGGUGCCCACACUGGCAUCAUUUGGCUCUGAAACUUGGCUGUGCUACGCUGAUCCUUCUUCUCUUGACCCUGAUUGGACUCAGUGUCUUCGUGAGAUUCCUAGUGCAAAAACCACUAAUAGAAAAAUGCAGUAUGGCUGCUCAAGAGAAUGGGACUGAACCAACAGGUAAUUGUGGAUCAUAGAAGUUUGUGCAGAACAUUUUAAAGGGAAGACAGCAGUUAUUUUUUAUUGGACUAAAUUAUGUACAAACGGAGAUGACCUGGAAGUGGAUAAAUGGCUCUGUUUUAAAGCCUAACAUAUUACGGAUCACUGGUUCGGAGGUAGAGAACAGCUGUGCCCUCAUCUCACACACAGAAGUGUUUUCAGAUUCCUGUUCUUCAGACAACCAUUGGAUCUGCCAAAAGACCCUGAAACAUGUCUGA